rnacentral:tRNA from 1 species
AUGUUUUUAGCUUUAUGGCGUUAGCUUUGAAGGGGCUAAAAUGUACAAAACAUU